rnacentral:rRNA from 1 species
ACAAGCAGUGGGAGCCCCACCACUAAGCCAGUGGUGAACUCCACAUACGCAUCCUUUGCUGAGGAUACGGUUAACGGAGCGAAAGCGACGUUCAACCGCAAAAGAAGCAGAGGGGGCUUAGUGGUGGGGUGACUGCGUACCUUUUGUAUAAUGGGUCAGCGACUUAUAUUCUGUAGCAAGGUUAACCGAAUAGGGGAGCCGGAGGGAAACCGAGUCUUAAUUGGGCGUUAAGUUGCAGGGUAUAGACCCGAAACCCGGUGAUCUAGCCAUGGGCAGGUUGAAGGUUGGGUAACACUAACUGGAGGACCGAACCGACUAAUGUUGAAAAAUUAGCGGAUGACCUGUGGCUGGGGGUGAAAGGCCAAUCAAACCGGGAGAUAGCUGGUUCUCCCCGAAAGCUAUUUAGGUAGCGCCUCGUGAAUUCAUCUCCGGGGGUAGAGCACUGUUUCGGCUAGGGGGCCAUCCCGGCUUACCAACCCGAUGCAAACUGCGAAUACCGGAGAAUGUUAUCACGGGAGACACACGGCGGGUGCUAACGUCCGUCGUGAAGAGGGAAACAACCCAGACCGCCAGCUAAGGUCCCAAAGUCAUGGUUAAGUGGGAAACGAUGUGGGAAGGCCCAGACAGCCAGGAUGUUGGCUUAGAAGCAGCCAUCAUUUAAAGAAAGCGUAAUAGCUCACUGGUCGAGUCGGCCUGCGCGGAAGAUGUAACGGGGCUAAACCAUGCACCGAAGCUGCGGCAGCGACGCUGAUGCGUUGUUGGGUAGGGGAGCGUUCUGUAAGCCUGCGAAGGUGGCCUGUGAGGGUUGCUGGAGGUAUCAGAAGUGCGAAUGCUGACAUAAGUAACGAUAAAGCGGGUGAAAAGCCCGCUCGCCGGAAGACCAAGGGUUCCUGUCCAACGUUAAUCGGGGCAGGGUGAGUCGACCCCUAAGGCGAGGCCGAAAGGCGUAGUCGAUGGGAAACGGGUUAAUAUUCCCGUACUUGGUGUUACUGCGAAGGGGGGACGGAGAAGGCUAUGUUGGCCGGGCGACGGUUGUCCCGGUUUAAGCGUGUAGGUGUGUGUUCCAGGUAAAUCCGGUUCACUUUAACACUGAGGCGUGAUGACGAGGCACUACGGUGCUGAAGCAACAAAUGCCCUGCUUCCAGGAAAAGCCUCUAAGCAUCAGGUAACAUCAAAUCGUACCCCAAACCGACACAGGUGGUCAGGUAGAGAAUACCAAGGCGCUUGAGAGAACUCGGGUGAAGGAACUAGGCAAAAUGGUGCCGUAACUUCGGGAGAAGGCACGCUGACACGUAGGUGAAGUGAUUUACUCAUGGAGCUGAAGUCAGUCGAAGAUACCAGCUGGCUGCAACUGUUUAUUAAAAACACAGCACUGUGCAAACACGAAAGUGGACGUAUACGGUGUGACGCCUGCCCGGUGCCGGAAGGUUAAUUGAUGGGGUCAGCGCAAGCGAAGCUCCUGAUCGAAGCCCCGGUAAACGGCGGCCGUAACUAUAACGGUCCUAAGGUAGCGAAAUUCCUUGUCGGGUAAGUUCCGACCUGCACGAAUGGCGUAAUGAUGGCCAGGCUGUCUCCACCCGAGACUCAGUGAAAUUGAACUCGCUGUGAAGAUGCAGUGUACCCGCGGCAAGACGGAAAGACCCCGUGAACCUUUACUAUAGCUUGACACUGAACAUUGAGCCUUGAUGUGUAGGAUAGGUGGGAGGCUUUGAAGUGUGGACGCCAGUCUGCAUGGAGCCGACCUUGAAAUACCACCCUUUAAUGUUUGAUGUUCUAACGUGGACCCGUGAUCCGGGUUGCGGACAGUGUCUGGUGGGUAGUUUGACUGGGGCGGUCUCCUCCUAAAGAGUAACGGAGGAGCACGAAGGUUGGCUAAUCCUGGUCGGACAUCAGGAGGUUAGUGCAAUGGCAUAAGCCAGCUUGACUGCGAGCGUGACGGCGCGAGCAGGUGCGAAAGCAGGUCAUAGUGAUCCGGUGGUUCUGAAUGGAAGGGCCAUCGCUCAACGGAUAAAAGGUACUCCGGGGAUAACAGGCUGAUACCGCCCAAGAGUUCAUAUCGACGGCGGUGUUUGGCACCUCGAUGUCGGCUCAUCACAUCCUGGGGCUGAAGUAGGUCCCAAGGGUAUGGCUGUUCGCCAUUUAAAGUGGUACGCGAGCUGGGUUUAGAACGUCGUGAGACAGUUCGGUCCCUAUCUGCCGUGGGCGCUGGAGAACUGAGGGGGGCUGCUCCUAGUACGAGAGGACCGGAGUGGACGCAUCACUGGUGUUCGGGUUGUCAUGCCAAUGGCACUGCCCGGUAGCUAAAUGCGGAAGAGAUAAGUGCUGAAAGCAUCUAAGCACGAAACUUGCCCCGA